GAUUUCAACUGAACAAGUCAUCAACAAUAAAGUGGUAUAACUCAUCAAUAUCUAUAACUUUUAUUUGGGUCAUUUCUUCAUCCGACAAAGUGAUUUGUAACAUUGUUCACAAAAUGUAUAUAUCUUUUAUAUACUUUAUUUAUAAACUAUAAGAGGGAUAUAUAAAUUUUGUUAACAAUAUUACUAUUACUUUAUCGGAUGAAGAAAUGACCAAAAUAAAAGUUAUAGAUAUUGAUGAGUUAUACAAUUUUGAUGUUGAUGACUUUUUCAGUUGAAAUC
rnacentral:pre_miRNA from 2 species